GCCUUCGUGGUGUAGUGGCCUGCAUGUUCGACGCGUAACCGAGAGGUCCAUGGUUCGAUUCCGGGCGAAGGCG
rnacentral:tRNA from 1 species